GAUGAAGAACGUAGUGAAAUGCGAUACGUAAUGUGAAUUGCAGAAUUCAGUGAAUCAUCGAGUCUUUGAACGCACAUUGCGCCCCCUGGUAUUCCGGGGGGCAUGCCUGUCCGAGCGUCAUUGCUGCCCUCAAGCACGGCUUGUGUGUUGGGCCUCCGUCCUCCUCCCGGGGGACGGGCCCGAAAGGCAGCGGCGGCACCGCGUCCGGUCCUCGAGCGUAUGGGGCUUCGUCACCCGCUCUUGUAGGCCCGGCCGGCGCUUGCCGAUCAACCCAAAUUUUUAUCCAGGUUGACCUCGGAUCAGGUAGGGAUACCCGCUGAACUUAAGCAUAUCAAUAAGCGGAGGA
rnacentral:misc_RNA from 1 species